rnacentral:rRNA from 1 species
UUGCUCUUCAACGAGGAAUUCCUAGUAAGCGUGAGUCAUCAGCUCGCGUUGAUUACGUCCCUGCCCUUUGUACACACCGCCCGUCGCUACUACCGAUUGAAUGGCUUAGUGAGAUCUUGGGAUUGGCUUUGGGGAGCCGGAAACGGCACCUUGGAGCUGAGAACUUGAUCAAACUUGGUCAUUUAGAGGAAGUAAAAGUCGUAACAAGGUUUCCGUAGGUGAACCUGCGGAAGGAUCAUUAUCGAGUCUUUGAAAGAAGUUGUAGCUGGCCUUUCGGGGCAUGUGCACGCUUCGCUCAAAUCCAACUCAUUUUCAACACCUGUGCACAUAUUGUAGGAUGGUUGAUACAAACGAAGAACUUAGGUUCCUCUCGAGUUGUUGACGCCUUCCUAUGUUUCAUUUACACACUCAUUGUCGUAUCAUGAAUGUUUUUUGCGCUUAAAUAACGCAUUAUAUAUAACUUUUAGCAACGGAUCUCUUGGCUCUCGCAUCGAUGAAGAACGCAGCGAAAUGCGAUAAGUAAUGUGAAUUGCAGAAUUCAGUGAAUCAUCGAAUCUUUGAACGCAACUUGCGCCCUUUGGUAUUCCGAAGGGCAUGCCCGUUUGAGUGUCAUGGUAUUCUCAAAGCCCUCUUCAUUUUUUUGAUGAUGUUGGCGCUUUGGAUUUGGAGGUCUUUUUUGCAGGUUUAGUUAAUAAAUCUGCUCCUCUUGAAUGUAUUAGCUGGAAAUCUUUGCUCAGGUCUAGCUUCAGUGUGAUAAUUGUCUACGCUGUAGCUGUCUAAGCACAUGUAUGGAAUUCCGCUUCUAGUUGUCUUUUAAAGACAGAUUGUAAUGAUCUUUUGACAUCUGACCUCAAAUCGGGUAGGACUACCCGCUGAACUUAAGCAUAUCAAUAAGCGGAGGA